UACGUAGGGGGCUAGCGUUGUCCGGAAUCAUUGGGCGUAAAGCGCGUGUAGGCGGUUCGGUAAGUCCGCUGUGAAAGUCGGGGGCUCAACCCUCGAAAGCCGGUGGAUACUGUCGGACUAGAGUGCGGAAGAGGCGAGUGGAAUUCCUGGUGUAGCGGUGAAAUGCGCAGAUAUCAGGAGGAACACCAAUUGCGAAGGCAGCUCGCUGGGACGUUACUGACGCUGAGAAGCGAAAGCAUGGGGAGCGAACAGG
rnacentral:rRNA from 1 species